rnacentral:lncRNA from 1 species
UAAAACUAUCUUGUAACUAACCAAUAUCUUCAAACGGAACACCAAAAUGUUUAUCUACUAUUAUUAUGAUGCAUAUGGUUCAAUUUAAGACUAUAUCCCUUCAUCAUACAUACAUUCUCCGACAUGUUAUAUAGGAGCUGAGACAUUAGUAAUAUAAAAAGUUUUAAAAUUAAUGUGGCUGCAGUUACAACUCACAAUUACAUCCAAUCUUUGAUAUUUGAGGAAAAUUGUGGAUAAUGACGUUGAUGCGGUCUCAGGUCCCAAAAUCCUCCAUUGUUCUAGUAGCUUUUAGCCUGCAAAAGAAAUUAGUGUCUCAAAUUUCAGUUCUCAAGAAAACAUC